CCUACGGGAGGCUGCAGUAGGGAAUAUUGCACAAUGGGGGAAACCCUGAUGCAGCGACGCCGCGUAAGUGAAGAAGUAUUUCGGUACGUAAAGCUCUAUCAGCAGGGAAGAGAAUGACGGUACCUGAGUAAGAAGCCCCGGCUAACUACGUGCCAGCAGCCGCGGUAAUACGAAGGGGGCAAGCGUUAUCCGGAUUUACUGGGUGUAAAGGGAGCGUAGGCGGCUAAGAAAGUCUGAAGUGAAAGCCCGCGGCUCAACCGCGGAACUGCUUUGGAAACUGGGCGGCUGGAGUGCAGUAGGGGUAAGCGGAAUUCCUAGUGUAGCGGUGAAAUGCGUAGAUAUUAGGAGGAACACCGGUGGCGAAGGCGGCUUACUGGACUGUAACUGACGUUGAGGCUCGAAAGCGUGGGGAGCAAACAGGAUUAGAUACCCUGGUAGUC
rnacentral:rRNA from 1 species